AGAGUUUGACUCCUGGCUCAGGACGAACGCUGGCGGCGUGCUUAACACAUGCAAGUCGAACGAUGACGACAGGGCUUGCCUUGUCUGAUUAGUGGCGAACGGGUGAGUAACACGUGAGUAACCUGCCCCCUCUUCGGGAUAACCUCGGGAAAUCGGGGCUAAUACCGGAUAUGACUUCGCACCGCAUGGUGUGUUGUGGAAAGUUUUUCGGUGGGGGAUGGACUCGCGGCCUAUCAGUUUGUUGGUGAGGUAAUGGCUCACCAAGGCGAUGACGGGUAGCCGGCCUGAGAGGGCGACCGGCCACACUGGGACUGAGACACGGCCCAGACUCCUACGGGAGGCAGCAGUGGGGAAUAUUGCACAAUGGGCGAAAGCCUGAUGCAGCGACGCCGCGUGGGGGAUGACGGCCUUCGGGUUGUAAACCUCUUUCAGUAGGGAAGAAGCGAAAGUGACGGUACCUGCAGAAGAAGCGCCGGCUAACUACGUG
rnacentral:rRNA from 1 species